rnacentral:rRNA from 1 species
GCCAAUGCAUUAAUAUGAUGCAAUAUCGAAGUCGAAUAAAAUUCUGGGUAGACUAUGAUAAUGACAUUAUCUAUCUAGAUGUCUUGACCAAAAUACGUGCCAGCAGUCGCGGUAAGACGUUAAAGACAAGUGUUAUUCAUGUUUAAUCGGUUUAAAGAGUCCCAAGACUGUUAAUAAAGCCUACUGGGGACACAUUAACUAGAGUUAUAUGAAAGGGGGCUGUGAGGUACUGUCGGGUGGAGAGAUAAAAUUCCAUUAUACAGAUGAUGGCACCAACAAAUGCGAAGGCAUCCUCUUAUGUAAUAACUGACGUUUUCAGACGAAGGCUUAGGGAAGAAAAAUGGAUUAGAUACCCUCGUAUUCUAAGCAGAAAAUGAUGAAUGUCAUAGGUUGAAGAUAAAUAAUAUUUAUUUUGGUCUAUAAAUGAAAGUGUAAGCAUUCCACCUCAAGAGUAAUUUGGCAACAUUGGAACUGAAAUCAUUAGGCCGUUUUUGAAACCAGUAGUGAAGUAUGUUGUUUAAUUUGAUAACCCGCACAAAACCUUACCACUAUUUGCAUAAAUAUUUAUGUAUAUAUUUACAAGUGUUGCACGGCUGUCUUCAGUUGAUGUCGUGAGGCUAGGUUACUCCUAACAAUCAACGCAAACCCUUACUUUAUUUUUAUAUAAAGUUGUUCACCUGUCAUGGGAGAUGCUAAUAGGGA